rnacentral:rRNA from 1 species
UGAAAAGGUUUCCUCGGACUGAAUGAAGGUUGGCUCUCGUGUGUAAAAGCAGAAGGAAGCUUGGCUGCAAGAUCCAUCUGUCGAGUCACGACCCUUUGU